AGCGAACGCUGGCGGCGUACUUAACACAUGCAAGUCGAACGGGGAUCGUCGGGUUAGCAAUAAUUCGGCGGUCCUAGUGGCGCACGGGUGAGUAACACGUGGGUAACCUGCCCUUGAGUUCGGGAUACCCCCUCGAAAGGGGGGCUAAUACCGGAUACGUUCCUCGGAUCGACAGGUCUGGGGAGGAAAGGUGGCGCAAGCUGCCGCUCUUGGAGGGGCUCGCGGCCUAUCAGCUAGUUGGCGGGGAACGGCCCACCAAGGCUAUGACGGGUAGCUGGUCUGAGAGGACGACCAGUCACACGGGGACUGAGACACGGCCCCGACUCCUACGGGAGGCAGCAGUGGGGAAUUUUCCGCAAUGGGCGCAAGCCUGACGACGCAACGCCGCGUGGAGGAUGAAGGUCUUCGGAUUGUAAACUCCUGUUGCCCGGACGAAUGGCUCCGACCUAACACGUCGGAGUGUGACGGU
rnacentral:rRNA from 1 species